rnacentral:rRNA from 1 species
UGGAUAACUUAAGGAAACUGGGGCUGAUACCGGAUAGGAGCUCCUGCUGCAUGGUGGGGGUUGGAAAGUUUCGGCGGUUGGGGAUGGACUCGCGGCUUAUCAGCUUGUUGGUGGGGUAGUGGCUUACCAAGGCUUUGACGGGUAGCCGGCCUGAGAGGGUGACCGGCCACAUUGGGACUGAGAUACGGCCCAG